GGCUCCGCGGCUUGGUGGCCUGGCGGCCUGCGGGCUGGGACUCGCGGUCGGUUCCCACCCGACUAGGCUGAGGCUGAUGAGCCUGCUUUCUGCGUGCUCGCUCGCCCGCUAGCAGGGGUAGGGUGAGAGUAAAGGAUGCUCCGCCGGGCCCUGGGCAGGUCCUUAACCUGCGGGACUGCGUGGCUUGCGGACGUGGCCCACAGGCUGCCCUGGCCGGUUCCCAGGGCCACGACGCUACAGUGUUAGGCAGGAUUUCCCCAGCACUCCGCUGGACGCUCGGAGCUCCCGCGCGCUCUGUGGCCCAUGGCUUCCCACCUCCUUCUCUGCAUUUCGUGUGUAGGAAGAUUGCACCUCUGUGUUCUAAGAUUCCCGAAGUACCCACGGGCCCUUCUUGGAAACAGAGCGGGGUGAGCCCUGCCGCUGUGGGUUGGCAGGGACAUUUGGAAUUAACGACACCUGGGACGUGCUUAAAUGGAACUUGGAAAACAUCUACGGACUAGACUGACCUCAGGGUCUCAAGAGACUUUGCCUCUUCCCUGCAUUCUUCUCUCUCCUCUCCCUGAGCCCACUAAUGCAGACUCCAAAUCUUCCUCUACCUUCCUUUUGGCGGUAAUGUAGAGGGUAAUACAGUGAGGAAAAGCCACAAAAUGUCUAUAGCGCAGGGGAUUCUGCAGUUAACCAAGUACUUUCUUACUGAUGAACUCGAAUGAACCAUAACGAAGGCGAUAAUAAGAAGUUCUCCCUACAGACAUGAUCUGUUCUAGGGAGUACUUGAGUCAUCACAACAUCUCUGUGAUCUUGGGGGAGAUAGUUGGGUAUUA
rnacentral:lncRNA from 1 species